rnacentral:rRNA from 1 species
UACGUAGGGUGCAAGCGUUGUCCGGAAUUAUUGGGCGUAAAGAGCUCGUAGGCGGUGUGUCACGUCGGCCGUGAAAACCUGCAGCUUAACUGUGGGCGUGCGGUCGAUACGGGCAUCACUGGAGUUCGGCAGGGGAGACUGGAAUUCCUGGUGUAGCGGUGAAAUGCGCAGAUAUCAGGAGGAACACCGGUGGCGAAGGCGGGUCUCUGGGUAGUAACUGACGCUGAGGAACGAAAGCGUGGGUAGCGAACAGG